rnacentral:misc_RNA from 1 species
GUAAACACUCAACAAAAUUGAGCCCUCAAGACAUAUAUACUUCUCUAUUUGAGAAGGAUGGGAUGGGAAAGUAAUAAAAACUUAUUUGUCUUCUUAUGUAGGAUUUCUAAGGAAAAUAAAAUGCAGAGGAGGAGAAGGGAGAGCCACCAUAUACUAAAAACACUAUACAAGAAGAAACAACUUAUAAAGCACAAAGAGGAAGGUGCUGCAUCUUGCCACCAUUCUUCACUAUAUUCUACAACUCCCACAUAUCUCCCUCUUUGUCAAAACAAUGGUGUGAUUGAUCAAAAACACCAUUUGCUUUUCAUCUGAGAGCAUUCACAAAAGCCAGCAAGGAGUCUACGUCCCUCUUCUCUGAAGGGUACUUAAUGGCCUUUGAAGAGUGCUUUGGGAAGAAGAGUAUUGUAGGGAAGCUGCCAAGCUGCAAUUCUUCUUGUGCAAAUGCUUUCUGGUCACCAUCUGCCCUGAAUUUCCCUACUUUCACACCAGAACCAGCCAACUUCUCAGCCAAUUCAACAUAGGAUCCUUCCAUUGCCUGGCAAAAUUGGCACCAAGGUGCAUAAAGAACAACGAGCCAAGGCUCUCUUCGGUCUUCCAAUUUUACUAGGUUCUCAACUCCAGGCUUACUCAAGGUAACAAUGUCCUUGGUAUCAAAAAUAUCAGCAACGGUAGCAGUACCAUUUGUUUGGGCAGCGCCAUUUACAGUUUCAUCCUUGAUGUUGCCCUUGUGCAAGCCACACUCCUUGGCCUUGGCAUCUUCCCACCACCAUCUUCCCUCUCUCUCGUGUUGCCCUGGUAGAACUGGCCUUGUGCAAGGUUCGCAUCCAAUGGAUACAUAUCCUUGUGAAUGCAAUGAGUUCACAGGCACAUUCAUGGCACGCAGGAAGUUCCAAAUAUCUUUUCCGUCCACAUUAGCCACAGGGUUCCACUUCACCAAGCUACCAGCACCGCCAUCCAACCCCUCAAAAGAAGGGUCCACCUGAACAAUGGGGAUUUCUGAUCGAGUUCCAGGGGACUGAUCUUUACGCUGGCCUGUGAUCCAGGCGCGUAAGCCCUUUAGAGCUCUCCUCAAAGGCCUAACCUUCCUUACACGGCAACACUCUUGGUGGCCAUCCUCAUAGAAAGAGAAAAGCCCUUUGGUCCUAACCAACGCCUGAACUUCAACUGAAUCAGGGAACAUGUAUUCAAUGCGAAUGCCAUAGUGCUUCUCCACUGUGUCAAAUAAUUGGUAUGUCUCCGGGUUCAACCUCCCAGUAUCAAGGCUGAAUACUCUGUAUGGUCGUCCAGUUAAAUGUGCGUACUCUAUCAAAGCAACAUCUUCA